GACGAACGCUGGCGGCGUGCUUAACACAUGCAAGUCGAACGGAAAGGCCCUGCUUUUGUGGGGUGCUCGAGUGGCGAACGGGUGAGUAACACGUGAGUAACCUGCCCUUGACUUUGGGAUAACUUCAUGAAACUGGGGCUAAUACCGGAUAGGAGCUCCUGCUGCAUGGUGGGGGUUGGAAAGUUUCGGCGGUUGGGGAUGGACUCGCGGCUUAUCAGCUUGUUGGUGGGGUAGUGGCUUACCAAGGCUUUGACGGGUAGCCGGCAUGAGAGGGUGACCGGCCACAUUGGGACUGAGAUACGGCCCAGACUCCUACGGGAGGCAGCAGUGGGGAAUAUUGCAAAAUGGGCGGAAGCCUGAUGCAGCAACGCCGCGUGCGGGAUGACGGCCUUCGGGUUGUAAACCGCUUUCGCCUGUGACGAAGCGUGAGUGACGGUAAUGGGUAAAGAAGCACCGGCUAACUACGUG
rnacentral:rRNA from 1 species